UGGGAGAUCGUUCAAUGGUAGGACAACGGACUCUGACUCCGUGAAUCAAGGUUCGAAUCCUUGUCUCCCAGCCA
rnacentral:tRNA from 1 species